rnacentral:rRNA from 1 species
AGAGUGGCGAACGGCUGAGUAACACGUGGGCAACCUGCCCCUCGCAUCGGGAUAGCCUCGCGAAAGCGGGAUUAAUACCGGAUACUCCGCGCACCUCACAUGAGGAGUGCGGGAAAGCCUUGACGGCGAGGGAUGGGCCCGCGGCCUGUUAGCUAGUUGGUGGGGUAAAGGCCUACCAAGGCAAUUAUGGGUAGCCGGGUUGAGAGACCGACCGGCCAGAUUGGGACUGAGACACGGCCCAG